rnacentral:lncRNA from 1 species
GUCAUAUAAAAGAUGUCAUCGGAGUCACAGAGAGCCGUAGAUGAAGAGGUAGAGAGUCAUGCUCCCUCUAAGGCAGCUGCACCUGCUGCUACUCCUCCACCUGCUGCUGCUGGCGGACUAGGGCAGGAUGCAUUGUUUCAGCAAAUAGCUGAGUUGCUUAGGAGGGUUACACAACAUGUACCAGAGGUACCACCACCACCUGUAGCAGUCGAGGUUCCCCCAC